rnacentral:rRNA from 1 species
GCUUACGGCCAUACCACCCUGAAAACGCCCGAUCUAGUCUGAUCUCGGAAGCUAAGCAGGGUCGGGCCUGGUUAGUACUUGGAUGGGAGACCGCCUGGGAAUACCAGGUGCUGUAAGCU